GAUCAAUCAUGUGGGUGGAUAUACUCAUUGCAUUGAAAGAUAUUGUACAAAAGAUUGGUUAGAGGCUGAAUGCGAAGCUGAGUGUAGAACAAGAACAUACAGCACAGGCUCAUGUCUUGGUCCUUUUCCAAAACUUCAAUGUUGUUGCAAAAAGUGAAAAAAAAAACUUUAGAAAGUGGUCAUCUUUUAUACAACUGGUGAUUUAAGGGUUGGUUUAUAUUUUUCUAUAGUAUAAAAAGAUAAUUUAUUAUCUUGUUUUAUCUUCAAUAAAAUAAUCUAAUUAUAUUAUUAUUUUUUGUGUGUGUUUAUCAUCGUUUUUAGUUUUUUUUUUACUUGAUUCGAAAGAUCUCAUUAUCAUAUAAAAAAUUAAAAAAAGAGUAAACAAAUUCAAAAAAAUAUAAGAAAUAUAUUGGGGUCUAUUGGGGAAAUUGGCAAAAUAAACCAUAAUAAAAAGAUUUUUGUCUUUAUAUACCUUUACAUUAAUUGAUCAGCUUUUGACAUUAUUAUCCUCAUAAAACGAAUAUAAUUAUUUAAAAUUAUAUACAUAUCAAAAAAAUAAGAAAAAUCAAUUCCAUGAUGAUAGUAUUUACAUUUUUGAUAUAUACCAAAAUUAAAAUCUAAAAACAAUAUGGAUUUGUUGAUCUAAAUUUGUUAGAACAUAUAUUAUAACUCAUUUUACAAGGAUAAAAUAGAUGUUCUAACUUAUCUUAUAUGUUUUAUAAAAGUUACAAUUUGUGUUGUAACGUCUUCUCUAUGAUAAUACAUAUGUCUCAGUUCUAAUCAAAUGUCUUUGUUAUGUAUAUAUAUAUAUUGUAGGCUUUUGUGUUCAUUGUAGAAAAAAUUAGAAAACGUUGAUUUGUGUUCUAUCUUGUUCAUAUAUUGCAGAUAAAACAGCGCGUUCUUACCUGUAUGCUAUGCUCUAACCAUAGUAGAAUUUAAAUUCUAACAUUUUUCAUGUGUUCUAUCUUAUUUAUAAUAUAUAUUCUUACCUUUUUCUAUGUUUUAUCGUUUUUAGAUUAUGUAUUUUAUAUUUUCCUAUAUUCUAUGCUUUUAAAUUUUAGAAAAUCUAGGAAAUAAUUCUAAAUAUUUUUAUUCAAAUUUCGUUCCUUUGUUCUUCUUGUGUUCAAAAUCACCUUGAAUGGUCGAAAAUAGAAGAGACUUCGACAGAUGAGCAUGCAAUAGUUGGCUGGAAUGUCGAGACAAAGUUCACCAAUUCUCCGUAAUGGAAUGCCAAUCAAGGGUUAUUUUUAACACAAUGCUGACAGUGAAAAAACCUAAAUAUCCUUUAUAUACUAAAGCACAAGUCACAUGACCAAUAAAAUUCUGACACAUAGUAUAUUUAUAUAAAAAAUAUAAUAGAAAAAAACAAAUGCAGAAACCUUUAAGUAAAUAAAAGCAGUUUUACAUAUUACCUAAUUUACAUUUAUUUAUUUUCUAUAAAAAAUAAAAUUCUAUAAUAUUUCUUCCACUAAACCAUGAUCUCCCGAUCUUUAAAACUACUAAUCUUUAAAAGUUUCGUCCAUAAACUGAUUGCUACAUAUUUACUUCAUCUCUACUUAAAUUCUUUGCCACAGUUCAAUUGAUUCUUUCUCAAAUUAAUGGUUUCAAUGAAAUCAGAGAUACAAAGCACAAAUUUGCUAUAGAUUGAUAGGCAGAACGUUCUGCAAAGUUGGGAGAUGAAGUUAAAAUCAAGGUUAGUGAAACUAAUACGCCCAACUCUUCAUGCUCAAACACAUUACUUUCAUGAACUUUUUUUUUCUUUCAACGUACAUAUGUUUAUUUCUUUUUAGUUUUUCAUAUUGGAAAAAAUUACAUACUACAUAGUUAAAAAGGUAAACAUAAACAAAUUAGGUCGUUGAUAAAAAAAAAGGGUCAAUAACUUUUUCAAAAUGGACUAAUUUCCAAGCCUCGAUUUGCUAAAUUUGUUUUAUUUGUUAUGGUGAUAGUUCAGAGAAGAAGAAAUAUAGAGUCUCACAUUAAAGUAACGUACAAAUGGAGUGUAAAAAACUGGGUGGUAGAGAAAACAAGAAAUAUUCUUUAUUUUUUUAUUUAUGUGUUUAUAAUCUUACAGAAAUGUGAUGAUAUUAUUUUUGUUUACUUUUGAAUCAAAAUAUAUACACUUUUGCUUUAUAUUUCUUAUUUGUAGAUGCUUGGAAACACAAAAAAAAAAGGUCAGCAAGUAUAGGAUUGAAAAUAUAUGCAUAAGAUAAGAAGGGGAAAACCAUAAAAGAUAUUAACAUCAGUUAUGUUAUACUUGUGCUACAUAUAUGUUUUCACUCAGUUUGACUUUUCAUGUGUAAUGAUUUGUCCUUGGUUUUGGAAAAUAGAUUAAUAGUUGACAUUUAUGUUGUGUUUAUAUUGGACUGUUUUAAGAUAUACAAAACAAUUUUAAAUUUUCUUUUCAAGUAUACCAAUAAAUAUAUCCCUAAAAUCUAUUUUUAUUGUAAAUUAUAUAACUCUAAAUUAACGUCCGUGCUUAGCACGGAUGAGAUAAUACUAGUUUCUAAUUAUUUUACUAACAAACUAAAUAAAUAAACUAUAUAAAUAUUUAGCUUUUAUUUUUGAUUGGCCAAUAUAAUUUAUAAAUUAGAUUAGAUAUUUAAUUUGUAUUAGAUUAUAAAUUAGAGGGUUAAUUUCGUAUUUAUAAAAUCAAAGGUAUAUUAAGACAAAAAUUAAUGAUAUCAAAAAUAUAAAAGUACAAACCAAUCCUCAAUAUGGCCUUCCUAUUAGCCAAAUUUCCCAUGUGUAAGUAAGUAACUCUCAUUAUUAUUAUUAUUAUUAUUAUUUAUUAACAUGGGGUAUCCCAUGUCUAUAAAGAGGUCUAUACUAAUCCCCAAAGGAAAGUACAGCUCAUGGAUAGACCUUCUCUCCGGACAUUCAAAUGGGCCUUAAAGCAUGUGCACAUAUUCGUGUUAGAUGACUAAGAUAAUUGUGAUUUAGUUUCGCGCAGCCGGUGGGUUAAAAUUGAAACAUAUUAGCGUCCCAAUCCCGCCUCCUUACCACCCGACCACAGUCACCCGCCUCAUUAUUACUGUUCUCGUACUAAAAUAUAUUUUCUAGGAGAAUGACAAACAAGAAAAGGAAAAAAAAAAACAAUGAAUUAAGGUAUACACUGCGCUUCCGUUCGUUCACGUCGGGGAUUGCAGAGCCUUGGGAUUAUGGAGGAUUAUAUUUUGUCGGGUAGUUUCCAAAUUGGGAUGGGUAACAGUUUUGCCUUUGAUUUCCAAAAUGUGAUAGAUAAUACUAUUUUUCUCACAGUAACUACUGGAUUAUUGUUUCAAAUUCAGGUGGGCUGAGUGGAAUGGGAUGUACAGGGAUGAUGUUAGAAGAUUUAUGAAGGUAUACAACGUUAGAAUCUGGUAUACACCAAUGAUGUUAGAAGAAGCCUUAUUGCAGAAACACUCUUAUGUUCCACAUUAUUUAGGGUAUGGAAGGAAGCUUUGCUACUCGGGUUGCAGGAUCUUCUGAUCUUUACCAGGUAAGUAAGAUACAUUCAAGUUAUUAAUUUUUGUUCCAAGUACGUUUCAUAACAUCAUCACAUUUACUCGCUUCUCUUAUUAUAUAGGUUAACCAGCGGAAUCCUCCUUACCACGGUGUAAAUUUCAUAAUUGCGCAUGAUGGAUUCACACUGAGAGAUCAUACAAUUCUAAGGUACUUUUGAUUUCUCGUUGCAGCCUGGAUGAGUGUCCAUUCCUUACAUAUCUCUUCUGUAAUCUGGAACUGUGGUUCGGAAGGUACAGUUUAUAACGUUAUCAAAACAUUGAAAGUUUCUUGUUUUAGUAUUUAAGUUUAUACUCUGUUUCUUGUCAGGGGAAACUGGCAGAUGAAGAAUUUUCAUUUAGCUUUGAUGAUUUCUCAGGUAAAACCAUUGCCAACAUACAUGAAUGAUAUUGUUGUUAACAAUCUUAUAUGAGACCAACCUUGAUCAAUGAUGCUAAUGGGAGACGCAUAUGGACAUUACCCGAUAUAUGGUAAUAACAAUAGCUAAUACUGCUCUCAACAACUUCCAGUGGAAAGAGGCAAGUCUUAUCUCUUAUAAGUUAAUAUGGAUGGACUCUCCCCUGUGUAAGCCUGUAACGGUUGUAUCAUGGCUUGUUUGUUAUUUUAAAAUCCAGCUCUACGCAAAGAAUAGCAGAACCAUUUUAGGUUCUUUUCAGAGUUGAUCAAGUUCCGACAUACAUCCCAUGCAUGUGUACUCAAGCACGAAAAUUUCCUCAGCAAAGUAACUAAUCUUUAUCCUCUCGUUUACAUGUAGUAUUCCUUGAAUCUUUGCGCCUACUCUUAUUUUUUUUGUGUGGCAUGAAGAUAGAUAAUGUUGGAUCAAAUAAAUAGUCCAAUAGUUUUUAUUUAAAAUGUGAAUAUAAAAUGACUUGGGCUAAAUGUUAUUAAGCCCAAAAAUCAAGUCAUCUUGUGUAUCAGAAAUGUUCCACAUCGGGGAAGAAGAGAAAAGAAGAGUGUAGAAGCACUGUAGCCUACUGGUUAAGGUUUAAAGGCUUCUACACUCAGGUCUAGGGUUUGAAUCCCAGACUAUGCAAUUUAUUGCAGAUUACAGGAAAUCCAGGAGAGAGUGCUUUAUUAAACAAUUAUGCAGACUACAAGAGAAAGACUUACAAGGGAACUUCAACAUUGUGCAAGUAAAUCUGUCCAGGCGUGGAUCUUCAUAGGACGGCUCAGGUGAUGCAGUUAGGCGUACGUCUUCAUAAGGCAGGUAGUAUUGUCGGUUAUCGAAUCGUCUAUGUAAUCUUUCUCAUAUCAUAAUUGUAAGAUCAUAAUAAAUCAUCGUUAAAAAAAGAGAAAAGAAGAGUUGUUUAUAUAUGUGUUAAUGACAUGAAUGUCCCGCCUGGCCGGCUCGGGUCGGGUCGGGUCUUGGUGGAAAGCCUCUGGUUCAAUAAGAUUUUUUUUGGACCAACUUAAGCUCAACGUUUUGUCAUUUAAUUCGGGAAAAAACAGCAUGCAAUUUUAUUUAAAACGACAAGCAGCGCUGUGAGCCUGGGGCCCAUGGGCGGGUAGUCCCACGGGGCGGGUUGUCACAAUUUUUUUUCUUACAAAUGCAACUAAUCACAAUAACAUACUGUUACAAUUAAAAUUAAUUUGAAUGUAUGUAAAAAUUAGACUUCAAGUUUACACAUAUAUAACAGUAAUCAAUAUCAUACAUAACUUGUUUAAAGUCAUCAUAUCAUAAGGGACUAAACUCUAAAAUAUUAAACAAAAUUAAAUGGAUUAAUCAAUACUAUUAAAAGAGAAGGAGUUUUAAUAAAUCUACUUAAAAAAAUUGUUUGGACUCUUUCCUUUUUUUAUUUUUUUGACUUCUCCUAUAUAUUAUAACAAUAUGUGACAAGAUAUUUUACCUAUAUAUAAGCGAUUUUUACUCUAACUAUCAAACUGGAUACAUUAUUAUUUAUUCUUAACCAUUUAAAUCAUCGAUUGCUAAACCACCCUACCCAAACAAAAUAAAUUACAUGAACCAAAACCAAAGCACAACCUAUUAUAACAUAACUUUAUCGAAAUAUUCAUUCCCCCACUUAUAAAAACAUUGAAAUAUUCAUUUCACCCACAAGGAACAUAAUACCAUCAACUACACAAUUAAUUUUUAACACAGAUAAACCCCAAAUUAAUAAGACCAAAAAUUUAAACAUAAUUAAAUUGAGACCCACAUUAAAUUUAAAAUAGAAUAAAGCCCAAAUACUUAAGAACAUAACUUACAAAAAUAUAUGUGAAUAAAACAUUCUUUUUAAAAUCUAACUUUCAAUAAUGGAACAUAUGUCUCUGAUACUCUUAUAAAAUAGUAAAUUGUAGUUUAGAUUUACAUUAUAGAUACUUUUAUAUAAAAAAUUAAAAAUAUUCUAAUACUUGGUUUUAUAAUUGAUAGUUUGAUUGUUAAUAGACAUACAAUUAAAUGUAACAUAAAUCGUUACUAAUAACACUAUAUUUAUUCCAGUUUCAAAUUGCUAUACUAUUUUUACACACAAAUGAAUCUCCAAACAAAUUUCGAACAAACUUCAAAAACGCAAACGCGUGAUCUAAUUUCAUACAAAUUAAUUGUGCUUACGGAAAUGACCUAUAUAUUAGUGAUAUAAUCUUCAAAAUUAUAUGAUUCAAACCUUAAAUUUCAUAAUUAUGAAAAGCAAAACAAAAUCAAACCCGCGCUUUCAAGCGCGGGUCAAAAUCUAGUUAGUUUUUUAUUUCUUUACUAGCAAUUGCUACUGUCCUAUUAAAAGAUGAUUCAAAAAAUGUGCUAAAAAGUUGAAAUCUAACAAUGAAAUAUAUAUUAUAUAAGAGAAAACUAUGAAAAAAAACAAAUAAAGAAAGAAAUGCUAACAGAAAAAAAAAUUAAAAAUAAGACAAAAAUUAGGACAAGUCUCACAUUCAUUGUACAAGAGGUAAAAGUAAACCAGGGAGAAAAAAACAACGCGAUUGGCUUCGAACACUGUAACACCUUAACGUAACCGGAGGCAUCUAUACCGAUUGUUCCACGAUAAUCAAUAGUGACAUUGCUAACUGAUUAAGAUUUAUAAAGUAGUCGGGGCACGUGCCCCCGUACGUUGUACCGUAGAUCCGCUCCUGAUCAACUCCCAAACAAAUCAAGAAAUGGAGCGUUUAUGUUCUGCAUUCUUGUGGUCUGGUCCAGCUUUACAUACAAUUAAAUCUAAAGCUUUUUAGUCGGAUGGCUGCAAACCACUACAUGAAGGAGGACUGGCCAUCAAACCGAUAAAGGAAGCAAAUACAGUGAGUUGUAUGAAACUUGUGUAGAGGAUUCUUUCCUCAAAGCCAACUUUAUGGGUCGUGUAAAAACAUACCUGAACCGGCAGUCUUUUCGGACAGUAAAAGAGACUACAAACAGAAGAUCUUGGAUGUGGAGGAAGCUUCUCGAAUGCAGAAAUAGUUUAGAGAAUUACUACAAAGUGGUAAAAUGGAGAGAGAGAACACCCUUUUGGUUUGAUAACUGGUGUAAGAAGUGGAGACUAAUUGAUAUCACAGGGCCCAGAGGCUACAUUGACUUGGGAAUGGCAGAGAAGCAACAGUCGCUACUGUCAUGGUAACUCACCAUUAUGGAAAGUCAGAGAAGCAACGGUUGCUACUAUUAAGGAAAAGCCAUUACGCUGAAGCUCUCACUAGGUGGUUCAACAAUGGGUAGGAUUAUUUAAGAACUAUCUUUAAAAUGAUGUAAUCUGUUUCUUUUUCAAACGAACGUCGCACAAGUUGUAAAAGAUGAUUUUUUGGCUGAAUACAAUUUUACAUUCAUCCUUAACAAAAGAGAAUCUCUAGUCUAAGAUUUAAUAGUGAGGUUUCUGAAAUCAUUAUUAGGUUAACAAUAAACAAAAUAUAAUUUGGUAUUUUCUCUCCACCUCAAAUUACAUAACAGAAAACAGAUAAUAUAGAGAAAUACAUACACUGCUAUUCAAAAGUGGGGCUUGAAUGCAAAAACAAAUACACAGUUGAUUAAUCAUUAUGAAGCAGCAGCUGAGAUGUGGUUUGGAUAUCUGAUGAUCAAUAAGGGUUCCUAUGUGGAGUAGAACGAGGAGGGUUCAGAAGAGGUUGAAGUGCCUUCACCACAAUGCUCAUGUUUGGUCUAAAAUUUGCCUCAUAUUGCACGCACAGUGCAGCCACCGCAGCUAGCUGAUCAUCAUCAUAUGGCAUAUAUAAGACCACAAACUCAAUUGUCAUAGAAAUGAAUGUGGACUGCAAGACUAUCGCUUUUUUUUAUUUGGCAUUUUGAAGUAAAAGGUAAAAAAAAUAGAAUGUGGUUUCUCCCUACUUCCUUUGGUACUAAUCUCAGUAGAGAAAACUAGUCUUCUAAGUUAGAACCAAAGUAUCUUAUAUGCUGCAAUGAAACAAUGAUAUGAGAAAACAAUGUUUAUGGGAUUAUUAAUACCUUGGCAACAGCUUUAGAGGGGUACUCUCCAAGUAGUCUUGCAUCAACACAUAGCUUCACCUUGUCUUCGCUCAGUUUAGGGGUUGCCUGAGACAAACAUACAAAAUCCAUACUAUUUGAGUAACGAUAAUUAGACUUUUAUUCUUUUAACAUUUUCCGAUAUUUUUGAGUCAAAUUGGUCUUCUAAAAUCCAUUGUUUAUCAAUAAACAAACCACAACCAGAAACAGAGAAGGCUGCACUAAAACAUUACCCAAGUCACUAGACUUUGUUGUCCACGAGGUAAGGUAUGGUCGACUGGUUUACGACCAGUAAGGAGCUCUAGCAGAACAACGCCAAAACUGUAGACGUCGCUCUUUGUGCUCAAUGUUCCCGUCAUUGCAUACCUGUUCACACACAUAACCCAACAAUGUUUAAGCUCUAGAUUCAACUGUGAGAAGAGAGGCAAGUAGAACCAAGAUGAUUUGUUUGAAUGAAACAAACUGAAAAUCAAAGAAAAUAUUAAAAAAUAAAAGGGCAUUACUCAGGAGCGUGAUAGCCAAAGGUUCCUAGUACACGAGUAGAGUGAAGUCGAGCAGCCAUGUCAGGCGCUUGAUUAGAGAGAUCGAAGUCACCAAUCUUGGCAACAUCGUCAUCAAAGAGAAGCACGUUGCUGGAUUUGAUGUCUCGGUGGAUAACCUGAGGGUUGACCUUCUCGUGCAAGUACUCAAGCCCUCUGGCUGCACCAACAGCGAUCUUGACUCUCUGAUGCCACGUCAUAACAGGACCUCGCAGCGCUCCUUUCACGCCUUUUCGGCCUGCACCACCAAAAGAGAUACAUCCAUAGUUUCAUCAAGAUGUUCAAGUCUCCAGUGAGACUAAUCCCAUAUAAAAUUGAAUCAUCACUCACCAUGAAGGACAUCAUGAAGAGAUCCGUUAGGAGCAUACUCAUAAGCAAGAACACGGAGAGGUCCAUCAACACAAUAACCCACAAGCGCAAUAACAUUUUCGUGUCGCAAUCUCGAAACCAUUGAUAUCUAGAAGAAAAAGCUUCUACUAUUAAUAAAAGAAAGGUAAACAGAACAUUCUCAAAGGAGCUGUUUGAUACAGAACCAUUUGCACAUAGCAUUAAUAUACCUGGGAAAGAAAUUCUUGGUCAGGCUGCUUGCUAGAAUCAAGUUUCUUGAUGGCAGAUGUGAUACCGCUUUUAAGAACACCGUGAAACACCCUUCCAUAAGAGCCCUCACCCACCAAGGCCUUGGAACCAUAGUUAUCGGUUACAUCACUCAGUUCAUCAGCUGGGAUGGCUGGUACAGCAAUAGGCUCCAUCUGAACAACGGGCUGAUUCAUGGGUGGAUCAGAUCUUAGAUAGUGGCUUCCACUGUCACCUUUAGGACAAUUAAAAUCCACAUUAAAGAUGUACAGUAAGAGUAACAGUAAUGAUAUAUGGAAACUGGAGAUACCUGCAGGGAUGUGGCUUGGCAUUGGUCGAGUAUCAUCACCAUUACGGAAACCAUCAUCAUUCCCACACCAACCAAAGCAGCUCAUGAUUACAGCAACUCUUCUAUUACACGACCAGUUAACUAAACUGCAACAGUAACCAAAAAAAAAGACUAUCAGGAUAAGGUUGUGUAGACCUAAGAGUGACCACAAGUCAAUUUCAGGAAACAUAAUUAGAACUGAGAAACGAGGAAGCAAUACUUAUUUAGGGUUCCGUUUUAAUAAAUCAAAAUCGAGAUGAGUUUCGGAACCCUGAAUAGAAAGUUUCUUAAUUUAGAGUGGUAUAAAAAUGGAAACUAUGUACAAAGGAUGAAGAAGAAGAAGAAGCAUGAGAGUACCUGUUUGGGUUUAGCGACGAGAAAGAGGAAGUUGGGAAAGUAGAGAGAGAGUUUUGAAAUUAUAUCUCUGCUUAGUGUUUAAGCUUUGAUAAUGCUUCGACGUCUCUUUUUUAGAGAGAAGAUGAUCACUUUUUAAACCUCUCUCUCAUCUCUCUCAUUAGUUAAAGAUUUAAUCGAAUACCCAAAUUACCCUUUGACUCUAUUAAAUUAAUUUAAAAAGACCACACCUAAAAUCCCCAAAAUAACCUUAAAAUAGUACUAUUGCGGUAGGGAUAUCCAUGUAAAAAAAAGAGUGUUUUGGAAUUGGGUUGGAGAUGAUAAAGUUUUUAGUGUUGAAAACACAAUAAAAUAGUGUAAUCUUGACAUUAUAAGAUCAUCUCCGAUGGUUUACUCUAUUUUUUCUUCUAAAAUAAAGUAACUCUAUAAUAGAGUUAGAUACUACUCCAGUGUCACUCUAUUUUAGAGUGAAAAAUAGAGUGAUGAACAAAAAAUAAAAAAAUUACUCUAUAUAUAGACUAAAAAAUAGGUUUACACUAUUAUAGAUUAGAAAAUAAAGUAUUAUUGGAGCAUAUUUACUCUAAACUCUAUUUUAAAAGGGAAAAUAGAAUGGGGUUGGAGAUGCCCUAAGAUCAUCUACAACACAACACUAAAACACUAUUUUAGUGUAAUUUUGACACCAAAACCUUUUCCAACCCAACACUAAAAAUCACACUAUUUUAGUGCAACACUAUAAUUUCACACAAAAUUUGCUAUUGACCAUACUAUAAUACUAUUCACCACUAAAACAUUAUUCAUUUAUUUAAUUAAUAUAAUAGACAAAUAAAUAAAUGAUAAUUAAAAACAUAAAUACAUAUAAUAUUAUAAAACAGUUUUAAGUGUGAAGUUUGAUGUUGUGAUUGGAGAAAAAAAACCUUUAGUGCUAAAACUAUAUUAAAAUAAUGUAAUUUUGACAUUAAAAUAGUAUUAUGGGUUGGAAAUGCCCUAAUAGGUUAUAGUCAACUUGAAAAUGGUCAUGUGAUACCAGCACAAGAAAAAAUAAUUCAUAAGAAAGACAAAAUAACUGACUCCACUCAACUAACACAAUAGCCAACUUAAAAGAACAUUUACGAAGCUCAGAGACAUUAGAUGAAUAACAACAUAUAGCAUAUACAGUUUCAGAUGACAUGUGAUUUGGAUAUCUGAUACAAAAGGUUUUCAUGUGAAGUCUUCACCACAACACUCAUAUUCCGUAAACUAAAUUACAAAAAAAAAAAAAAAAAAAAAGCUAAUCAAGGAUAAGGUUUUUUUAUAGACCUAAGAGUGACCACAAGUCAAUACAAGGAAACAAAAUUAGAACUGAGAAACGAGGGAUCAAUACUUAUUUAGGGUUCCGUUUAAUAUAAUCAAAAUCGACAUGAGUUUCGGAAUUCCGUCAAGAGAAAGUUCCUUGAUUUAGGGUGGUAUCAAAAUGGAAACUCUGUACAAAUAGAGAGAAUUAUGGCAUAAGAGUACCUGUUUGGCGACUUCAGUUGGACACAGUAGAUCUAGUAAAAAAAAAACUCUCUUUCCUCUUUUUCCUCUUUCUGCUCGAAAACCCUAGAAAAUCUGAUUGGCGCCUCUCAGCCGGUGACGGCCUCCGACGAAUCUGUCGCUGUCUCUCCCUUCCUCUUCUCCUUUCACUUCUCUGUCUCACCUCCUUCUCACUCUCUUCGAUUUGCCGAUAUACUUUCUGUUGUGGUCUCCUUCUCUACUCUGGUGUCGCUGCUCGGUGGUUUAGGGUUCUGGAGCGGUGGUGAGGUACGUCUGUGAGAGUGGGGCUUGGUGGUUUCUCCGAGGGUUAACUUUGAGGCAUGGCUCAGAUCUGGCCAGAUCUGGCUUCAAUGGAGGACGGAUGUGCUAUGGUGAUGGUGCUCUGGUCACCGUCGUUUCCUCCUGCGUCAGAUAGCUUGUGUUGAUGAUUGGUUCCCUCGUUCUUGGUUGGAGGGCUCUCGUCUUUGAGAUCUCAGCUUCAGAUUCUUCUCUGUUUCUCACCACCAAUGAGAACUUGUUGAAUCAGGAGUCGAUUUUGGGUCUAUGGCGAGCUCCCUGGCGGUGGUGGUGACUCUCUGCUUGUGGUUUCUCCUGGUAGGUUGGUGUGGGGCUCCUUGUGGCUAGAAGGUGUCGUUGUCAUGCGUAUGAGGAGGGCUGAGUUCUUCUCCUCAUCUAAGCCAGAGGUGGCGGUCUGGUGAAGUGGUUAGAUUGAGCUUCCAUGUUCUGUAAUUGGUCAGUCUCUGGUUCUCAGAGGCAAUCGCUCGUGCGGGUCAAUUUUGUUCUUUGGUUGUUGUAGUCUACCUCCGACUUCAUUCCCGGUGACAGCGUGUGUUGCCAGCAUCUCUGCAGUAAGGGUAUGGUUCUUUGGUCCUGACCCUGUGGUGUUAGCUUCCUUUUAUAGUGCAUGGUCUGGUGGAUGUUGCGGGUUUAUCAUUGUUUCGUCUCUCCAAAUAAAAGCGGUUAUUGGGCUCGUUGUUGGGGUGUUGGUUGUUCCGGUGGGAGACUUUGGGUUCUUGGAGUAUACUGGUGCUUCUGAACUUCAGGAAGGAGGAGUAGAGGUGGCUGUUUGCGGUGAUUGGUGGCUGGUGCUUCGACAGGCUCUGGUUCAUCGGUUUUGCCGUCUCGAUGUAGCCCCAUUGUCGUCUACUGCAAGUUCCAAGUUCUGGAUGGUGUCUGUGCUUUCUGCAGGAGGUGGGGAUUUAUGGUAAGGCCUUUUUUUUGGAGGCGAGUGCCUGGGCAAGCCAUAUAUAUCGGCUCGUGACUCAUAUUAUAACUGGUGCCUUACUAUGGAGUCCUUGAUCUUGUGUGUGGUGCGCUCUCUGCAACCCGUUGAGUUCUUCUCGAGUGUUCUCUCCUUUGCCUCGUAUCAGUUCUUAAUCGUGUUUUCCUUAUUGUAUUUUGUUGUUGUGGUAGUAGUUUCUUUUUGAUGUUUGUUUUCUGCUACUAGUAUCUCUAUGUAACUUAUGUCACAAACUUGAAAAUUGGUAAUGCAAUCUUAACAUUUUUACCAAAAAAAAAAAGUAGAGAAAAUUUUGAAAUUCAAUUUCUGUUUAGAUCAUCUCUAAUCCACCUUUAUUUUCAUCUCUAUAUUUUUUUCAAAAAUAUGGAAUCUCUAUUAUAGAGGUGAAUUUACUCCAAUAUAUGCUUCUAUAAUAGAGACUAGAUUUUGAUAUGUGCGUCCGCGCGCACAGAUAUUUGCUUUUAAUUUUUGUAAACGUUCAAAAAUUAAAUAUAUACAUUAUUAUACUAAUUAAAUUAGAAGAUGCUAAUUAAUUAAAUAUAACUGAGUUAGUUUUAUUAUUCUGAAAAUUUAAACGAUUUUGAUUAAUUUAAUUUUCAAUAAACCAAUAAAUUAAUCUGAUAAUUUAAUCUAUUUCAUAGUUUUUCUUUUAUGGAUUGCAAAAUUGAAUUUUUGAUUUUGAUUUUAUUAAGUAGAUGAAGGAUUGCAUAUCUUCUAAAUUUAUUUGGUAACUAAAUAUUAGGCAAUUUCGUAACAAUUUUUAUGGAAAUUGCUAUUUAAUAGGUCAAAGGCAUUGGAUGGUAACUAUUGAAGAAAGUUUAGGGUUAAAAUUUAUUUGUACUUCAGUUUUAAUAGUUUACAUUCUCUAUUUUAGAGAAAAUAUAGAGAUAUACAUUGGAGAUGCUCUUACUAUUUAAGCUUUGAUAAAUUGGUCGACGUCUCCUUUUUAGAGGAUAAUCACUUUUUAAACAACUUUCGUUAGUUGGCAGACUUAAUUAAAUACCCUUAUUACCCUUUAGCUCUAUUAAAUUUAAUAUACUAAUUUAGGUCCAAUAUUUUAUCUACCGUUAACAAGUCAUAGUAGGAACACUUAUAAAUUAGAUAAAAUGACAUAUUUGAUUAUUUACAUUAAUAAUAAACUAAGAAUAAAUUUGUAGGACCACUUAUAAAUUAGGUAAAAUGACAUAUUUAAUGAAACAAAUCUGUUGAAAAAGAAUUUAACAAAAUUCUACUAACCUUUUAAUUUUUUUUUAAAUACAUUAAUUAAUUUUGUAAUUAGUAAUAUACUAUUAUUAUAAAUCAAUUUUAAUUAAAAUUUUAUUUUAAAACAAGAAAAUAAAAAUUAUAAACUAUUUUUUAUAAAUUUUAUAAUUCUAUUCUGUAUUAUACUAAAAAAGAAAUGCUAUAUGCAUUAAACUUGACAAAAUUAUAUUAAAUAGGUAAAGUAACCUUUUAAAAAUAGUUUCACUUAAAUAAAUUACCACUCAUCAUUAAAAUAGAUUAAUAUUUGUAAAAUAUAUAAUAUAGUAUCUAACCUACAAAAAUAAUUUCUAUUUAUUUUCACUGUUCUUUAAAAUUAUUUGAAUUUUCAGUUAUUUAAUUUAUGUAAAUAAUUUGAACGAAUUUUUUAAAAAAAAUUAUUAAAAAGAUAAGAUCUAAUAUUUUAUAUUAUUUGGACAAACGAUUAAUUAUAACGUUGUUUGAAAACAUGGAUUGUAAUAUAAAGAAAAUAGUAUUAGUGUUUUAAAGUAGGUUUAAUUGUAAAGUAAAAACUAGGAUAAGACAUGUGCUCUGCGCAAGAUGAGUUUAUAUCUAUACAACUAUGUUUUUAUAUAAUCAUAUAUACGUUGGACGGAGACCAUUUGUAAUUGUAUUUUUGGACGGAAAACUUUUGAAUUUAUCAUGGGCCAGAUCGAUAUGGACUUAAAGAUUUUACAUGAAUUUCACAAUUUUACAUAAGAUAGAAAAUAAAUAUAUUAAAAAGAUAACUACAAAUUUGGCAAUUCUUUAAAGCAAUGUUUUAAAAACUGGAUCGGACAUUGACUCAACAUUAUAGUUGGAUUAAUGGUCGGACCGAUCCAACCGGUUCAUUCGGGUUUUAAAUUUUAAACUAAUUUUAAAUUAAGUAAUUAUAUAUAUAUAAUUAUAAAAAAUUAUAUAAACUUUAUACAUUGUUAGAAUCUAAAGUUGAUAUGAAAAAAUAAAAACUUCAAAAAUAAUAUAAAAUAUAAUGAAAACUAUUUUAUUUAGAUAUAUAUUAGAAAACAAUAUGAAAGUUUUAUGAAAAAAUUUCAAAAUUUGUAAUUUUUUUAUUCUUGUAAACUGAAUUUAAGAAAAUAUGUUUUAAUAUCGAAUCUGAUUACUGGGUUUUAGCAAGUUUUACUGGGUUUUGAUCGGGUUUACCUGUUUAGUUUUUUUUUUUUUUUGUCAUCAACAAUACAGACUCAUGCUGACUCUGUAAACCAAACCGGGUAAUCUGCAUCCAUGUGAACGACAAAAGACGAUUGCUUUCUAGCACUGCGUGCCAGGCUAUUCGCCUUUGAAUUUUGCGUUCGUGGUACAUAGAUAAGCUCUGAUCGGGUGAAACUCUCUUUCAGGAUCUUGAUAUCAUCCAAAUAAUUUGCAAAAGCUGGCCAUUCCUCUGGUUCCGAAACCAUCUUCACCAGUUGAGAACAAUCUGUUGCAAACGUGACCUGAAAUAGACGUAAAUUCCUCAUACAUUCCAUUGCCCAUAGUAGUGCUUCCAUCUCCGCAUGAAGAGGCGAGAGACUAGCCCGAACAUUCCUCGCCCCCAACAAUCCAUCAAAACCUUCCAAAGUGCUAAGCCAACCUUGCCCUGAAAAAAUAACCCCCUCUUUCCACGAGCCAUCUGUGAAACACCAUCUUCCUGGGAUCGACGGCAAUAUCAUAUCUAUUAUUGGUGGUGGCAUCCUCUGGUCAUUCACAACUUGUGCAUCAGCCCACAAUGUCGAUUCUGUUUCCGCCAAUUUAAGCGUAUCCAUAGGGUCCAUAUCCAAAUUGCUGAAAACUUUAUUAUUCCUAGCUUUCCAGAUGUACCAUAGUAUCCAUACAAACUGGUGAUCCUCCAUCUGUGGUAAAACUCUCCAGAAUAGAUGAUCCAUGUUUGUGAAGAGGGAACUUGUUGGAAAAAUAGUUGGAUUUGAUGGUAUCUUCGAAAGAGCCCAAACUUGGAGAGCUGGAGGACAUUCAAAAAACACAUGAUUUAUUGAUUCCUCAGGAGCUCCACAUCUUGCACAACAAAUAUCCCCUUGAAUCCCCCUUGCUUGUAAAUUCUACCGCACUGCUAUACACCCUGUCACUAGUUGCCACAGGAAAUGUUUUAGCUUUGGCGAGCACCGUAUUUUCCAGCAGUAAGCCUUCAAUACAUCCACUGUGGGACCAAUCAGUAUUGGUACUCUUUCUCUAUCUGGAUAAAUCCGCUCUACCUGAUAUCCUGAUUUGACCGUAUAUUUUCCAUUUUUUGUAAAGUGCCAUCCAUCUCUAUCAACCCGCUGAGUCCUGCUUAGGGGAAUACUUUCUAUAAGUUUCGCAUCCUGAGGGUCCACCAAAGCCCGAAUUUCCUCUGAAUUCCAAGUACGCGAGGUAGAGUCAAUGAGGGACUCUACUGUAAGGUCCGGGUAUAAAUUAUGUUGAUUUUUAUUAGCUGGUCUCGGGCGAGUGGUUGGGAGCCAAGGGUCAUUCCAUACGGAUAUAGAAGACCCUGAUCCCACCCUUUUGAUUAGUCCUUUGCUAACCAGAGAUCUAGCAGAAAUAAUGCUCCGCCAGCCGUAUGACAUAGAAUAUGAACGAAUCGGUUCCAAGGAUGAAGCAUUCCUAAAAUACCGACCUUUGAAAACUCGAGAAAAUAAGGUGUCUGGCUUCUCUAUUAGACGCUAUAACUGUUUACCAAGCAUCGCUGUGUUGAAAUCAGUGAUAUCUUUAAACCCCAGACCUCCUUCCUCUUUGUCUACACAUACCUUGUCCCAUGAUUUCCAGUGUAUGCCUCUUGUACUUCCCCCUGGACUCCACCAAAAUUGUGAUACCGCGCUUGUCAGUUUUUUCACCGUUGCUUUAGGCAAUCGAUAGCAGGACAUCGUAUGAUUUGGUAAUGCUGUAAUCACUGUCUUAAUGAUCACUUCCUUUCCACCUUUUGUGAAAAACUUGAAAGUCCACCCAUUGACUCUAUUAUUUAAACGAUCUUGUAUAAAGCUGAAAACUUGAAUCUUUGAUCCCCCCAGAUUUUCUGGUAGACCAAGGUAUGAUCCCAUUCCUCCAAGAUUCUGAAUACCCAAAAUAUCCCUUAAUUCCUGUCUGACAGAUUCUUCAAUCCUAUGUCCAAAUUGAAUGGAUGACUUAUCAAAAUUAAUUAGCUGCCCUGAAACUGCCUCAUAUUCCUUUAAAAUCCGAAGAAUAGUUUGACACUCUUCCGUUUGAGCUUUACAAAAAAAAAGACUAUCAUCCGCAAAAAGCAAAUGAGAAAUCGAUGGACAAGCUCUAGCUACCUUCAUUCCCAAAAUUUGUUGCCCUCUCUCUGCCUUUUUUAUAUUUGAAAUUAAGGCCUCAGUGCAAAGAAUAAAUAAGUAAGGCGAUAAAGGAUCUCCUUGACGUAAACCCCUAUGUGGAACAAUGAGGCCACGUGGUUGACCAUUUAUAAGAACCCGAUAUUGAACCGAUGAAAUACAUUCCAUCAUCAAUUUAAUCUAAUGAAGAUCAAAACCCAUUUUCUGCAAUAAAGCCUUAAUAAAAUCCCAUUCGACUCUAUCAUAUGCUUUGCUCAUAUCCGUUUUUAUUGCCAUAUACUUUCCUUGACAUGCUUUAUUGGUCCGCAAUCCGUGAAACAUUUCCUGGGCGAUAAGUAUAUUAUCAGAAAUCACUCUUCCUGCCACAAAUGCCGAUUGAGUCUCAGAUAUGAGUAAGGGAAGAUAGAUUUUCAAUCGCUGACACAAGACCUUGGAAAUGAUUUUAUAUCCGACAUUACAGAGACUGAUUGGCCGCAGUUCUGUCAUCCUUGUAGGUCUCUCCAUUUUUGGUAUCAUACAGAUAUUAGUAAUAUUUAAUCGUGCAUCCAUUGCCCUCGAAACCAAAAAAUUAUUCACCAUCUCGACCAAAUCAUUCUUAAUAAUAUGCCAGGAGUGUUGAAAAAAUAGUGCUGUCAUGCCGUCCGGUCCAGGCGCCUUUUCUGGGUGCAUCAUAAACAAAGCCUCCUUAACCUCCUCCUCCGUCGCCAUCCUUAACAGACGUUGAUUCAUCUGAGGAGUGAUACCCGGUGUAAUCUCUGUUAGGAAACUAUCGAAUUCCGAUGGAGAGGUGGUACUAAAUAAAUCUUCAAAAUAGUCUACUGCCACCUUUUCCACACCAUUAUCCUCUGUAAUCCAAUUCCCAUUAGCAUCAUGUAGUCCUACAAUUCUAUUACGGACCCUCCUUUGCUUAGUUAAAGCAUGAUAAAAUUUUGUGUUAAGAUCACCAGAAGAAUACCACAUGUUCCUACUUUUUUGGUGCCAAUAAUCUUCUUCAUCCUUGUAUGCGUCUUGUAAUUUCCUAGACACCUCCAAAAUAUCCUCUUGAGAUCUGUUAUUAUCCGUUUGUACCUCUUCAAGUGCCUGUUGUAGCUCAUUUAUUUUUCCUUUUCCAUAAGGUGGAUUAUUUUUCCGCCAUUUAGCAAUUUCAUGACGACAAUUACUAAUUUUUCCUACGAUACUCUCUGCUCCCCCUCCUGAUCUUCCUUCGCCAUGGUCUAGCCAACCCAUUGUUAUUGAUUCCAGGAGACCCGCUUGUCCAAUCCACCUCUUAUCGAACCGAAAUUGUCCUUUACUUCUGGGAACUUUAUUUUCUAAAUAAGCCACCACUGGCCGAUGAUCAGAAGCCACCAUCCCAAGAUACUCUGUAAAGGAACAUGGAAAUAAAGUAUGCCACUCUUCAUUUGCUAGAGCACGGUCCAAUCGACAUAUAACCAUCACUGCCCCUUUCCCUUUUCUUCUUCUCCCUUGCCAGGACCAUUUAUUUCCCCUAGCCGGAAAUUCUAGUAAACCACUAUUCCUUAUCAUAUUAUUGAAAGGGAUAAAAGAAUCCGCACUCCUUAUAGACCCUCCAUCUUUUUCAUGAUUUCCAGUAAUCUCAUUGAGAUCACCAAUAAUAAACCAGGGUUCAGACCUCACCAGUCCAUAUCUAGUUAACCGUUUCCACACGUGUUCCCGCAUUUUUUGAAACGGGUCCCCAUAUACAAAGGUAAGGUAAACCGUUUUACCCAGUGCCUUCGCUUCCACAUCAAUCAUUCGGUUGCUAGAAUAUAAUACCUUUACCUGAUACUCAUUAUUAUAGAAAAGCGCUAAUCCCCCACUUCUCCCCACUGGAUCUAUUGUGACCAGAUUAUCAUAUCCAAAGUGACCUUGCCAUUUUUGGACAAACUCUGGAUUUUGUUUUGUCUCUGCUAAAAAUAAAAAAUCCGGCUUAUGUUUAUGCCUUAUCUCGCUCAAAUAGCUUAAGUCCACUUACUUCCCAUUCCUCGGCAAUUCCAACUCAAUUUGUUCUUUUUGUGCUCCAGAGAGCCGAGUUUAUGGGUGUAAUGAUACCCUAUAUCCAUAUUCCAAAUAUUUUCCUUUAUUUGUGAUCCAAACCAUCCCAUAAAAUUCCAAAGUGAUACCACUAGUAUGGUCCAAUUUUUAUCACUUAUCCUCCAUAAGAAUGUAAAACCGGUUUCAUAAGCAAAAGGAGAUCUGCAAUCUCGUGAACCGCAAGAUCCAACCAUUAUAUACCCAAGAAAAUCAAUUCCAUCAUCACAGUUAAUAUCUACAGCAAACCAGUUUAAUGCACCAAGAUACCAAUUUUUUGCACUUGAAAUACCAAUUCGUUUUGAGGAUAUUAACGGCCUACUUGCAUUGACAAAUCAAUACAACUCACUAGGCCCAAAAAAGAAACGUCUAUACAUAUUCCGAAUUGCGUAUACGUUCCAUGCAAACCAAACCCAUGGUUGACAAUAUAAAAAAACCAGCCACCUCCUUCUUGAGAUCACCAACCGGUUCCACACCUUUCCACGUCUAGAACCAUUAAUAUUCAUUGCCUUACUCUGCAAGUAACCACAAAUCCAUAACCCUCUUAAUUUAAUCUGAGCCAAAGUUUGCCAUCGAAAAAAUUCAAUCGAGAUCAAUUGACGCCAAGCCAAGAUCAGCCCCUCCAUUCCAUCUUUCCACCACAUAAAAUUAUAACUAUAUAAACCAUAAUGACAAAGAUAAGACCAUACUUUCAUAAUAACCACUAGGUACUCAAUUCUAAUAACCCACCAUAUCUCCCACCACCACACUUGUUGAAUAAUAAGGCCUAGCGGCCUUAGUUUGUAUCUACUCCAUGUCGGUUCUCCCCUUAAGCUCAAACCCUGUAGUGCAAAAGCCAGACGACCUUUGUCUCGAUGAAUCUCCAUGAAUUGCCAUUGUAAUCUCAAUCUCCAGACCAUAAUUAUUGCAACUCCAUCCCAUUCUUCCUUUGGGAGAGAUUGCGACCUGAAACAAAAAUAGAUACAAGUAGGAUAGCACUGCAAAAAUGUUCGAGCCCGCCACCAACUCCAUUGUUCCCGAUCCUUUUCCAGUCCAACUUUGAAAAGUAUCCUUGUCCUAGUCCUAGGUAACCCGUAGACCAGAACAAAAGCAAACCAAACAUAUGACUCAACUGUGAUAAUUAUCUCUAAUAGACCUGAGUACCAAUAACUGAAAACCUCAAUAUUAUUCCAAUGAUCAAAUAAACGUGAAAACACAACCGACAACCAAAGAAAACACCAACAGCCCGAAUCUAUAAAACCCAUAAUACCAGAUAACAAAUAGAUGCUCCAAGAGCUUAUUUGGAAAACUAAAAGCUUAAAACCAUAACUGAAAACCCCGUUACUUCAACCCAAUACGAGAGACAUUUGAUUCAUAAAUUAUGGAUUUUUCAUUCCAGUCUUCGGGUUUGAAGUGCCCUUAAUCUCCUGGUGCUUGCUGUGAUCUUCAUGACGUGUACCUACCUUUGCCGGAGCUCGUUUUCGCAGAGAGACAAGCGCAGAAGCUAUCCUCAUCUUCGUACUCCCCGCGGUGCUAGGCUUAAAAAGCCUCUUGCGAGUUCCUUGCUUCUUCGCCACAUCUCCUUUAACCGGUGCUUUUUCCACCUCCGUAUUUUCAUUUUCUAAAUCUGCUGGAAUAGCUUCUUCAUCAUCUUGUUCCUUUAGCAUUUCCUCAAAUUCCCCAUCUGAGCAAUCUGGUAGAUCAUCUGCUGCAUCCAUAUCUAUCCCAUGCUCGAGACAGAUAGCUCUACACUCGUCCAUGUCCAGUACCUUAUCAUCCUCCAAAGUUGACGGUUCCACUAUCAGGCUUUUGAUCAUCUGAAUCCCUUCCUCCGCAUCCAUAGGGUCCGAAAUUACCUCAGAUCCUACAGCUUGAGUCUUGGCCAGCUCUUCUUGAAAAUCCUGAGAGGGAAGAGUUUUCUCGGAGUCAUCAGCAUUUUUUAUUUCUCCCUCCUCCUGAACUACUUCUUUUGGAACUCCUGACUGACCUGAGGAGGAUCUAUUACUUCCUCCCUGACCCUGACCCUGACCCUCAGCCCGGUGUUCCUCUCUUCGGGAAGAUCUAUGUCGAGAACCAUCUCCCUCACCCCUAAAGCUCCUGUGAUUAGUAAAAGACCCCUUAUUGCCUCUAUCAGCCACCUUCACCCAUUUUGAGUCAGCCUCUUCCACCAUCUUGACUUUACCCUUCCCAUAGUAGUCCCUACCGUCUCUUUCCUUGUGUUGUUGAUUCUGAUUUCCAUUUAUGACCACUCCCUUAUAGCUCCGAGCUCGAUCAUCGUGUUUCCCACCAUCAUACCAUCCUCCAUUUCCUUCUCGACCCUCUCUUUUCUUCUCAGGCGACACCUUCUUAGCAAGAGGGCAUUUCUCCUCCUUAUGGCACAAGCUAGAACAAAGUGUGCAGUAUCCAAAGAGCUUCUCAUACCUCAAUGAUAUUGCCGCUUCCUCCCCCUCGUAAAAUUCUCCACCCUUGAAGUCCAAAGUUGUUUCAAAGCAAAGCUCCUGAAACGCGUCCACCACCACCUGCACUCUGCAGUGCUCGACAUCUACUGCUACUGUUCGUCCAAGUGCAUCACCGAGGCUCUCAAAGGUAGGCACCGUCCUGAACUCCAUCGGAACACCUAUCACCCUGAUCCAGAACGUUAUCUCCGAUGGGAAGAGCUGCGACUUCUUCGGUUGCCACCGUGCUAACGCCAUCAAAAUGAUACGGUUGCAGCUUCAGUACCGUAUCUAUCUCCUCCUCUGUUUCAUUUCCUGCUCUGGUGGAUUCAUGCAGCAUCCAAUCAAGGACUUAGAGUAAGUCUUGAGUAGUGCCGAGUUAUCAAAGUGAGGCACCGAGAUCUUCAUUCUUUUCCGAGCCGUUUCUCCUUCCUUCAUGUCACCACCAUUGCCGAGAAUUUGGCUCUGCGUCAUAGUAAACAGAAAAGGGAAAACUUUCUCUUUGUUAGAAAUAGUCGCUAAAGAAAACGACAAUGAUAUACAACAAAGAGAAGGUUCAAUAUGGGUUUUAUAAUAAUCCCAGUUUUCCAAUUCCUCAAUCCCAUAUCGUCUCCGAUUCCAGGAUCCCAUUUGUGAGAAGGCAUCGAAUCCCUAGAUCAUCGCCUAUGUCGCCAUAGUCGAGAGAAAAAACCAACUUUCCCUUAGUUUGUACACAAUAUUUUUCAUUGGUUUACCUGUUUAGUUUAAAUCUGUUUUCAGCAUUAAUAUUAUCUUCAUACUUAAAAUGUUGAUUUUAGUUAAUUUAAUAUUUUUGUUUUAAGUUUAAUUUUUUUUUCAUUUUUAUCAAAUUAAACAAAACAUAAUUUUAUUUUUUCGUUUACAAGUACAUGCACUAAUAUUUUUGUUAUUUAAUAAUAUUUUGGAUUCCAAAUCUAUAUUAUUUUUAUUUUCCUUAAAUUAUUAUUACUAUUAUUAUUAAUUUAAUAUGUUUACUAAUUAUUUUAAAUAGUAAAAAAGAAAGAAAAAUGGUAUGUUUAAAAACUGAAAUAUCAUCAUGUUUUAUUAAAGCCGGUAUCUAAUUAUCCCCUAUAUAUUAAAAAAGAAGCAUUACAACAUUAGAAGCAUGACACGUGUCAUCAUGAAAAUGAUUUUCGGGAAUCCUUAGAAAAGUAAGUUGGUUCAUCUAAAUAUAAACACAUCAUAAAAUCAUUUAUUAGUAUUAAAUGUUAUUUUUCAUUCUUUCCUUAAAUAAAAGCUACAGAAUUACCUAAUGUUAUUAAGAUAUAUAUAUGCAAUUAAUGAUUUCCCAUAACAAAGAUUUGCUAACAAUCUGUAUCCACUCAAUCAUUUUUGUUUAAAUUUUUGUUAUUAAAAUAAAUUACAUAAUUGCAUUAACCAUAUAAUAAAAAAUUAGAUUUUUUCGUAUAUGUUCUAUUUUGAAUUUUUAAAAACGAGUAUAAAUUACUAAACUGUUAAAAGUUUCAAACAAAUUUUUGUUAUCAAUGGUUUAAAUUUUUUGUUAUAAUAAGAUAUAAAUAGUUAUAAACCACAUGAGUAAGGAGUCUUGUUUAAUAAGUGUUUAUACUAAUAUACAUAUAUAUAUCAUGAGAUUAAACUACAUAUCAUAUAAAAUACAAACUAUAUAUUGAUAUUUACAUUCGGGUUUCGAUUCGGUUCGGUUAGGGUAUUUCGGGUAUCGGGUAGUUCGGGUAGGGGAUUAGAGGAUUCAUUUAUUACUUGACAUAUUUUCGGUUCAAUUUGGUUCGAAUAAUUGUGAUUUCGGUUCUGUUCGGAUAGUAAAAUUAGGAACCAGAAAAUACCCAAAAAAUCGGUUUCUCAUUUGGUUUUGGUUCCGGUUCGGGUAGUUCGUAUAGUUAGGGUAAAAUAUUGGUUAUUUAGGGUUCAAUAUUAAAAAAAAUUAGGAUGAUUUAGAUAAAAAAUUUAGAUAUUUCAGAUUACUUUGGAUAUUUCAGAUAAUACUAUCCGGAUAGUUUUGGGGUCUGAUUGGUAAUGGCUGUAGCUUUAAAAUUUUUGCUGUAGAAAAAAAUCUGUAGACUUUUUGCUUUGGCUUUAGAUUUUAUUGCUGUAGAAUUUGUGGAAAGCAGUAAAAAAUUGCUUUGGAUAUUUGGCUCUGUAGAGCACUUGUACAGCUGUAGAUUAUUUUAAAAGCUGUGGUUUCAAAAAAAAAAUUAAAGCUUGAUUGCUCUGAAUUUAGUGCUGUAGAAAUAAAUAGGGCUGUAGACAGCACCUACAGCAACUACCAAUCACCCCCUUGGAUUUCGGAUAUUUUCGGGUAGUUCAGAUACUUUAUAAUAAUUUAAUUAUUUUCAAAUAUUUUUUUGGUAUUUAUAGUAGAUUUUUAAAUUAUAAAUAUAUAUUUAGCUAUGUUAUAUGUAUAUAUAAUUAAUAGUGUUAUAUAUUAGGGUACCGGUUUGGUUCUUGGUUCGCUUUCGGCUUGGUUCGGAUAUAUAAAUAUAGGAACCGUUCGGAUAUUUGAGGGUCUCUGUCUGGUUCCAGUUUCAGGUAUUUCGGUUCGGUUCCGAUUCGGUUCUUCGGUUCCAGUUUUUUUUUGCCCAAGCCUAUUUGCAUUGAAUAAAUAUUGAGAACUUCACUAAUAUUUUAAUUUUGAAAUUUGCAUUCAAUUAAAAAUAAUUAUAAAUUACUAAAACUAUUAGACAUCUCAAAUUAAAUUUUUUAUUAAUGGUUAAAAGUUUUGUUAUAAGAUAACAAUAAUCAUAAAAACAUAUGAUUAAAAAUUUCAUUUAAUAAACAUCUUUACUAAAACUAUAUUUUAUAUCUAUGUUUAUCAUUUAAAUUUAAUUAUAUAAUAUAGAAUGGAUAAAAUUGUUUUGUUAUUUAUUUACCAUAAAAUGAUCGUUAAUAAACAAGAGUGAUUGUUUGAUUUAUAUGCACAAACCAAUUUAUUUAUAUACCUAAUAUUACCGAUAUCUUAAUAAAUCAAUAUAUAUUUAUUAUUUUAUUAUUUCAUAAUAUGUAGAAAACAUAAAAUAAAUAAUAGUAUAUAAAUAUAAUUUAUAUAUAAAAUAUUUAUCCCACGCAAGGCGUGGAUCUUAACCUAGUUUAUAUAGUAUUUGGCUGUUAGGUUAACGUCAUUGAUAAUUACCAUAAACUAAUAAACUAAUACGAAAACUAAUUUUUAUAUUUUUCCUUAACUCUCCCAAAAUAUAUUAUCAAUUCUUGGCUUGAUUCCGAAGUUUUUGCAUCUUAAAUAUAAAUUUUUCUAUAUUUACCUCAUACCGAAUUGUGUAUCAAGUUAAUUAUAUUUGAUAUUUAAGCAUAAGAGUAUUAAGUUAAUAUCAUUUAAUUGUUUGAUCUAAUAAAGAAAACAUCAUUUAUACAUAAUUAAAUUACACUUCUUUGCAGUGUGUAUACUGCUUUGCGAAGAUUAAUAUGUUAUACCGACCAAAACUUUCUUUGAAUGUUGUUUGGUUCAAUUAAAAGAUAACUUCCACAUAAAACCAACAUCAACAAUACAAAACUGGACAUCUUCUUCUGUUUUCCAACACUAAAUAUACAGAACAUUAAUCCCAGAUAUGAUUAUAUAGGAUUAUGAAAGACUUAAAAACUCACAGAUUAUAUCACCAUUUAUAUAUGAUUAUGUAGGAUUAUCAAAUACUUCAUACUAGGAUGAGACCCACGCUUUAAGUGGGGGUGAGAUAUUCAUAAAAAUCAUAUAUUAAAGUAGGGUUGUUUAAUCCGGAUUUUGGUCUUGUCUAGACUCAAUUUUUUUGAUAUUUUAGUUUAUAAAAAUUAGAUACCAUACUAAAAUCAUAUAUGUUUUAGUUUGGUUCAGUUUAUAUAUUGCCGGUUUUUGGUUUAUUAAAUUUUGGUCUUGUCUCAAUUUGGUUUUCCGAUAUUUUUGUUUACAAAAAUUAGAUACCAUAUUAAAAUCAUAUUUAUCUUAGUUUAGUUUAGUUUAUAUACUGUCAUAUUUUGGUUUAUUCAAUUUUAUACCAAACAAACUUAAACUUUUAUAACAUUUUGUAAAUUUAAUUCUGUAUGAUUAAGAAUCAAAUUUAUUAAAUACUACUCUAAUUUUUAAAUAGAACAUUUUUUCUAUUAUAUUUAACUAUUAAAAAUAAUUGUUAAAUAAAUAAGUUAUUAUAGAUUUAUAAUAUGAAAAUAAAAAAUAUUAACAAUAUACUAAAUUUAUGAUAAAUAUAUGUCAAAGAAAGCCUUUACUUAAGAAUAACCAAUAAUACAUAUUAACGUCUCAAAUAUCAAGAUCAUAUAAAUAAAAUAAACUACAUGUAUAUAAUUAUAUUAUGUAAUUUACAUAAAACUAUACUACUAUAUUUUACUUAAUCAGUUUAUUCGGUUUAUAUGGUUUGAUCGGUUUAUAUACUGAACUAUAUCUAUAUACCACAAUUUUUAGAAAUAACAUCUAUCCGGUUUGUACAUUGUUCGGUUUUAGUUAGUCUGGUUUUUACCUAAUUGAACACCCUUAGUUCAAAUUACUAAAUCGUAGAUAGUUUGCAAACAUGUUUUUUGUACUAAUCGUACGUAAUAUAAUCAAAAUUAUAUGUAUUUUAUAAUUAAAUCUAAAAAUAAUUUACAAAAAUAGAUCUCAUUUUUCAAAGUACAAAAUCAAACGGGUUUUUUUGGCUGUUUGCUAGUUGGAAAGAUGAUAGUAUCAUUAGUGAUACUUAACGUUUAAAUAUGAUUAGCUUAUAGGUUAACUUCGUCUCUAAUUACCAUUAACGAAUACGAUUUUCAGUUACUAUAAUUUUUCUUAUCUCCCCAAAAUAUAUUUUCAAUUCUUGCCUUGAAAAAGUUUUUGCCUUUUAAAUUUAAAUUUUACAUAUUUCUCUUCUCUUCUACCUCAUGGCAAUUAUAUUGGAUAUUUAUACAUAAAAGUAUUAAGUUAAUAGUGUUAAAAUCUAUAUAUAAUAAGGAAACUAUAAUUUAUACGUAAAUGUCGAUAUUUGUGGUAAAAUAUGCACGCUCUUGGUAGGUUGCUUUCCUAAACAAUGAUUAAAAGUAUUUUAAUAAAACUCUCAUUUAUACGUAAAUGUCGAUAUGCCCAACGAAUAUGAUCUCGAACUUAGUUUAAAUAUACUUCUUAUUAUAUAGUUUUAUGUUUGAAUUAAUAUAAGUUUCCCUAGCGAAUUGAUUUUGGAUUUACAUAUUAUUAAAUCGCUUGUUAUGCUGCAACGUAAAGUCAAUUGACAUUCCAAUUAAGUGACAACUAAACAAAAAAAAAUUUAAAUAAAAAUUUAAAGUUCUAACUUUUUAAAUGUUCAUUAAUUAAUAUAUAGAGGAUGACUUGAAGUUAUAUGGGCUCAUGGAUUUGAAUAGCUUCAAAUUGAAAAUCUGAUUUAUUGAUGUCAUCAUUAUUACCUAGCUCUGGUAAUGUAAACGUGAGUAUAUGAGUAUUUCACGUACAUAAACCCCUCUUAAGACGUCAAACCGAGAAUCAAUAAAAAAGAUUUAUGUAAUCAAUAUGUAGAUAUAUCCACACAAAUUGCGACUUGUAAUUAAAGACAUAGUGAAUAUAUGCACAUGUAAGUAGCCUUAUUUGAGCAAGAGCGUUAAUUAUAAUAGAUGCGUUUGUGAAAACUUCCUUUUGUGGCCUAACGUGCUUUAGCCUAAGUAAAAAUUAAAUAUAUCCCUAGCGAAAUCACCACCUAUAUUUUGGACCAACUUUUUUUUUCAAUUGAAUAUGAAGCUGCCACGUCGUACUAAUUGCUAUGCUAAUUAAUUGACACCUAAGCCAAAAUUUUUUUUAAUUAAUACAAACUUCAGGUUAUAACUUUUCAAAUGUUUCUCUAUUAAUAUAUAGGGGAUUUAUAUCAUUUUUUAUAUAUGAUCCCACAAUGAAAAGCGUGAUUACAUAUGUUAGGCUACCGAGAUUAUAUGUUGAAACUUUAGUAUACUAUUUUUUAUUUGUAUUGGACGACGUAUGAAUAUACUUAAACACGUUUUUUUGUGUUUCAUCAUGAAUGAAAGACAUUUAUGUUUUUCCUUUUAUGCUUGAGUUUGGUUUACCAAUUUGCUUAUCGUAUAUCAUCAUAUGCCUAAAUACACGCUUGUUAUAAUAUAAGGUUUUCUAACAAUUGAAUUUUGGACUUACAAAUUAUUCAAUUGAUUCUUAUGUUGACACGUAAGCCAAAUUGACAUUCUAAUUAAAUGACACAUCAUCAUAUCUCUUUUUUAAUUAGUAUAAAAUAUAGGUUACACUUUUUAAAGGAUCCUCAAUUAAUAUAUAGGAGAUGUAUAUUUAACUUAAAAAUCUAUAAAAUAAAGGUAAGGUCCAAAAGUAGGAUUCUAUUUUAACAAGGAGAUCUAUAUAAAUUUAAGACAACUUUUGACAAAGAAUCAUAUAAAUAAAGCAUUUCGACCCUUUUUCCCACAACAAAAUUGACAGAUAUAAAAUAAUGAAUAUUAGAAAAUAUAUAUAACUUAAUAAUAUAUAGUUUUCAAAACAGAUUAAAAUUUAGACCAAUACAAUAAAAAUUCAUGAAUCAAUUAAGAUAAACAAGAAAUAUAAAUAGUUUUUUUUAUAAGAAAAUUAAAUAAUUUAAUCUAUCUAUUCUAUUAAAUUAGGAACAUGAUCAGUUGAUAUUAUUAUGGAAGUAUUAUUUAUAAAAAUAUAUUCUACGGGUUUUAGUUUAACGGGUUUUAAAUAGGUUAUUCGAUUAAAAAUAUUUGUUAAAUGUUUAGUGAAGACCUUAUUAACCCAUUUACAUAUAUAUAUUUAACAAAAUAUAUUAAAAUUUAUCUGUCAAAUAUUUUUCAAAACUUUUGUUCGGUUUUUUGUGCGUGUUGGAUUUGAUAUUGGUUUUCGGAUAUCACUUAAGAACCAUUCGAGUAUAUAUGUCAAAUCUAAUAGAUUAUGAAACUUUGAUUUUUGGGUCGAUUCCGAGUCAGAUUUUUUGGAUACGAAUAUUUUUCUUGACUAAUUAUGUUAGGUAACUACUAAGAAAAUAUAAUAUGUUGCAAAUUUUAGAAAUAAAGUUUAAAAAUAAUUUUUGAAAUAGAUAUGACAUAUAAUUAUGCAAUUUGACAUAUUUAAUAUAGUUACCAAAUAUUAUAUUAAAUUAAAUUAAUACUAAAAAAAUAUGAUUACAAAAAUAACACAAAUACAAAAAUUAAAUUUCUCAAAAAAAAAUAAACAAAAAUAUACCCGCCCUUUAAAAGGGCGGGUCAGAAUCUAGUUCUAAUUAAAUGACACAUCAUCAUAUCUCUUUUUUAAUUAGUAUAAAAUAUAGGUUACACUUUUUAAAGGAUCCUCAAUUAAUAUAUAGGAGAUGUAUAUUUAACUUAAAAAUCUAUAAAAUAAAGGUAAGAUCCAAAAGUAGGAUUCUAUUUUAACAAGAAGAUCUAUAUAAAUUUAAGACAACUUUUGACAAAGAAUCAUAUAAAUAAAGCAUUUCGACCCUUUUUCCCACAACAAAAUUGACAGAUAUAAAAUAAUGAAUAUUAGAAAAACAUUUGUUAUGUUUUUUCUUGUAGUGGUAUUAGCAACGUCUUCGUUGUCCAACUCCAACGUUUUAGCCUCACCGGGUAUAUAGCAAAUUGUUCAUUGUUCAUCUAUCUUUUGUUCAUUUUUAAUAAUAAUUUUUGACUGUUUCAGUUUUGAAAAUUUAAUAUUAGUGAAAUUGAUGUUAUGUAUAUGUAUGCAUAUAUAUUUAUUAUUUUUAAUUUGUUUGUAUUUGUGCAGUGAUCAAUCAAGUGGGUGGAUAUACUCAUUGCAUUGCAAGAUAUUGUACAAAAGAUUGGUUCGACAUUGACUGCGAUGAUGAGUGUAAAAGAAGAACAUACAGCACAGGGGCAUGUCUUGGUCCUUUUCCAAAACUUCAAUGUUGUUGCAAAAAGUGAAAAAAAAAACUUUAGAAAGUGGUCAUCUUUUAUACAACUGGUGAUUUAAGGGUUGGUUUAUAUUUUUC
rnacentral:lncRNA from 1 species